rnacentral:rRNA from 1 species
UACGAAGGGGGCUAGCGUUGUUCGGAAUCACUGGGCGUAAAGGGCGCGUAGGCGGCUUUAUAAGUCGGGGGUGAAAGCCUGUGGCUCAACCACAGAAUUGCCUUCGAUACUGUAGAGCUUGAGACCGGAAGAGGCAAGUGGAACUGCGAGUGUAGAGGUGAAAUUCGUAGAUAUUCGCAAGAACACCAGUGGCGAAGGCGGCUUACUGGUCCGGUUCUGACGCUGAGGCGCGAAAGCGUGGGGAGCAAACAGG